UGAGGAAUAUUGGUCAAUGGGCGAGAGCCUGAACCAGCCAAGUAGCGUGCGGGAUGAAGGCCCUAUGGGUUGUAAACCGCUUUUACAGGGGGAUAAAGUGAGCGUCGUGACGUUCAUUGCAGGUACCCUGCGAAUAAGGACCGGCUAAUUCCGUGCCAGCAGCCGCGGUAAUACGGAAGGUCCGGGCGUUAUCCGGAUUUAUUGGGUUUAAAGGGAGCACAGGCCGGCUGUCAAGCGUGUUGUGAAAUGUAGGGGCUCAACCUCUGAACUGCAGCGCGAACUGACGGUCUUGAGUGCGCGCAACGUUGGCGGAAUUCGUCGUGUAGCGGUGAAAUGCUUAGAUAUGACGAAGAACUCCGAUUGCGAAGGCAGCUUUCCAGCGCGCUACUGACGCUGAGGCACGAAAGCG
rnacentral:rRNA from 1 species